AAAAAUUACAAUCAAAUAAAUAAGAACAUUGGGUGGUUGAAUAUAUAAAUAAAAAUAUUACAUAAAUAUACAUUUAAAUCAAAAGAAAAAACUAACAUUCGUCUACUUUGCUCAAACAAAAAAAAACUUAUAUCUAUUUUCUGAAUCUUCUUUCUUUAUUGAACACCAUUCAACCAUAGAAACUUGAUGACAAUUUUUCACUAACCUACAAUCAAAAUGUUUUUCUUGAAAAAAAAAAAGAAUAAGAAAGAUAUUCCAAGCAAAACAUUGAUGUUUGGAGAGUCACAUUCAAGAUUGAGUAAUACAUACAAAUCAUAUAUAAAGGUCAAAUGAGAAAUUGAAUAUAAAGGAUAGAAAAACUUCAUAUGUUUUGGUUGAAGGAAAAAAUCAUAUUACAAUUACCAUCGAUGCGACAUAACUCAUUUCUUCAAAUCAUCAUAUUUGGAUCAUGAAUGAUUCAACUAUAUAAAAACUUUUGAAUCAUAAUAUCUUCAACCAAAUGACGACUUUUUAUAAGAAAAAUGUAUUAAUAUAACUACAUAUAUAAUGAAGGUGAAAAGGUGUGGGGGUUUGAAAUGCAUGAGGUGUUGGACUUAUAGAGUGUGUGAUUUUCUUGGAAUGGGAUUAUGUGUGAUUAAUUACUUUGAAGGUGAAAGGGUGUAGGAGUUUUAAAUGCAUGAGAUUCAAGAAAAAAUGCUAACUUUAUAAGUAUGUAUGAUAUGAUAAUGAAAUGAUAAUGAUAAUGAUACCAUAUAUGGUUUUUUUACAUAAGUUUGGCCUUAUUUUAGUAGAUGUUAAAAUUUCAAAAAGUUAUUAUUAAAACACGAGAUUGAAAUUUGGUACCCAAUCAAAUCAAGGAAAAUUAGAUUUGAUGUUGGAAUGAGUGUAAUGAUUUUUUAUUAUAAUGAAAUAAAAUUAUAUAAACAAAAUUGUAAACAACUUCUUCGUCCAUAAAAAUCAUUUCAAUUGAUAAAACAACAAUAUUAUUUUGUAAAGUUGCAUAGCUUCGGUACUCAGACCUUGAUGUGUAUAUCAUCAUUCAUUUUUGUCCGUCACAUCAUCUUUUACCUCACUCUUCUUUCCCUCACUAAAACCCGAAACCUAUCAAGGUCUUAUCGAAGUUGUUCAUAUUAUAGUUCAAAAUGAACUAUUGAAAACGAGUUCAAAACCAUGUCAAUAGUCAACUCUUUUGGCAACUCGAUACUAAGAUUCCUCAAUCUAUCAUCCACAGUUAAUGUCAAAACCACAUAUAUAAUUAUAAACAACAAAUUUGUGCUUCAAAGUUUAUACAGUUAAGCUAAAACUUUAAUUAAAGAGAAAAAAAAACUCCAUAAAAGUCCUUAUAUUUUAGUCUGAUAAUCAAUUUAGUCUUUAUAUGUUAUUAUUAUUCAAUUAAGUCCCCAAAACUGGAAAUUAUAUUAAUUUUGACCAUUUUACCCAGUCAAACAGGUCAUCUCACCGUCAAAAUUUGCACUUUUGGCUGAGAUUUUAAACUUUUAUUACAAUUUUGGUCAAAAUUUUACACUUUUGACCCAGAUUCAAAACUUUGUUACAAAUUCAUCAUAAAUUUAGUUUUUUUUUUUCAUCUUUUAUUUUAAAAAAAAUUUCGAAUAUAUUUUUUCCACAGUAUAAAAUCAUAUUUAAAAAAAAAGCAUAUUUCACAUAAAAAAACCUUCUAUUUUCUAUAUAAAAACUUUUUUUAAAAAAAGAUAUUUGUUUAUGCAAAAUACUUAUAUAAAAACCUUCUUUUUAAAAACACUUUUGUAUGCAUAAUAACUAUUUAUAAAAAAAUCUUUUUUAUUUUAAAUACCUAUUUAUAAAAACAUAGAUAUGUGAAAAUGCAUAAAAAAAGCAUAUUUCACAUAAAAAAACCUUCUAUUUUCUAUAUAAAAACUUUUUUUAAAAAAAGAUAUUUGUUUAUGCAAAAUACUUAUAUAAAAACCUUCUUUUUAAAAACACUUUUGUAUGCAUAAUAACUAUUUAUAAAAAAAUCUUUUUUAUUUUAAAUACCUAUUUAUAAAAACAUAGAUAUGUGAAAAUGCAUGAAAUACACUUAUGUAAAAUACAUUAUUAUAUUCNAAAAAAAUAUAUCUAUCAAAUUGUAAAUAUCUUAAGAUAAUCACUAAGAGAUAAAUAAAUCAAAAAUUUCCAGUCAGAAAUAUUAUACGAUUAAUAAAAACUAUUUUGAAUAUAUAUAUAUAUAUAUAUGGUUAGGUUCAAAUGUUCCUAACAUUUAUUGUGUACUCGUAAGCAUAAAUCUGGACCAACGGAUGAAAUACAAUCAAUGAUCAAGAUUUUAGGAUUUAUGAUAUCACAAUAAAGUAACAUAUACCCUAUAAUCACACAAAUUUCAGCAUAAAUGCAUUUUGGUCAAUUAAACUAUAUUAAAAAAGGAAAUUUUUGGAUUUUAAGGGAUAAUUAGUUCCCUUAUUUUACAAAUUUCAGCAUAAAUGCAUUUUGGUCAAUUAAACUAUAUUAAAAAAGGAAAUUUUUGGAUUUUAAGGGAUAAUUAGUUCCCUUAUUUUUAAAAAUCUGAAUUUUUUUAAAUUAAUUCUAAUUUAAUUCUGAUAUAAUUUUUAAUAAUAACUGAUUUUAUUCUUGCAAAUAUAUUUUUGAUUUUAUUCUUGCAGAAUAUGGUUUCAUUUAAGAUAUUUUUUUUAUAACUAAUUAUACAACAUAUUGUCGAGAAUACAUUUUCUAAAGAAUAAGGAUUUAAUUUUUAAGAAUCACUAAUUACAUUAAUUUGUAAAGAAUAAGAUUACAAAAUAAUUAUUACAUUCAUUCUGAAAAAAAAAUAUGACUAAUAAUGGUUUGAGAAUUACACAUUUCUUAAAUAUUAAAACGAAGAAUGGUUAAAAAAAAUCAAAAUCUAACAAAAACACUAAUUCAUUAUGAAAUAAUAUUGUUGUUAAUAAACACAUUACACAUUCUGACAGAAUACAUUUUGCAAUAAUACACUCUCAUUCUUCAUUUUUUCUUUAUUUUUCACAUAAUCAAAUUUCAAAUAUUAAAAAAUUCAAUGAAUUCUAAGAGAAUAAAAACUAUAUAUUCUGAUACAAUGUAAUAAAUAUUAAAGAAUUUUAAUUUAUUCUAAUAGAUUGUAAUCUUCAAAUUAUAAAUUCUGAUAAAAUGUAGUAAACGUUAAAAAAUUGUAAUUUAUUCUAAUAGAAUGUAAUCUUCAAAUCAGUAUAUUCUAGCCGAAUGUUUUUUUUUAUUUUUCCUAUCUUGACAAAUAAACAGACUAAAAUCGAAUUGUAUAAUAAUAAUAUACAUUCCUAGAGUGUUGACAUACACAAGUUGCAUAUAUAUUUUUUAACAAAAUAAGCUCUAUAUACGCACAUACACUAUAGCUAAAUACACUAUUGUUAAUUGAAUAUACAAGGUAUAUGAAAAUUAGUCCAUGAUAUCAUCUUCCACCUUAAAAUCCUUAAACCCCAUAAAAGAAUUCUAAUAAGAAAAUCAUACAAAAAAAAUAUAUAAUAAAAAAUCCCACACAAACCCACUGAAUCGAAAUAAACAUAUAGGCAUCAAAUUUAUUCAAUUACAAUUAACACUCGAACAAAAAAUAAUCUAAUCAAAGAAAACCCAACUUUCCAUGAUUUGUAAUGAGAUGUAUGUUCGUUGAUUUUGGAAAAAACAAUGAUAGUUGAUUUUGGAAAAAAAUGAAUACUUAAAAUCAAAGGAACCUUAAUAGUAAGCGAUACUUUUUCCUUUAUUCAAUUUAAAAAAUGAGUACAUACCUUCCGAUGUUUUGCCGGUGGCUAUAGGGAAAUAAUAUGUCGGCAUCAAUGGCUAUGAGGAAGAAGGAGGGUGUCAUUGGUGGCGGCGUUUAGAUAAAUAUGAGUAGCGGGUGGCGGCCUUUAUAAGUGAACUAGGGUUUUAAUAGGUAAAUAAG
rnacentral:lncRNA from 1 species